rnacentral:rRNA from 1 species
GACGAACGCUGGCGGCGUGCUUAACACAUGCAAGUCGAACGGAAAGGCCCUGCGUUUGUGGGGUGCUCGAGUGGCGAACGGGUGAGUAACACGUGAGUAACCUGCCCUUGACUUUGGGAGAACUUCAGGAAACUGGGGCUAAUACCGGAUAGGAGCUCCUGCUGCAUGGGGGGGGUUGGAAAGUUUCGGCGGUUGGGGAUGGACUCGCGGCUUAUCAGCUUGUUUGUGGGGUAGUGGCUUACCAAGGCUUUGACGGGUAGCCGGCCUGAGAGGGUGACCGGCCACAUUGGGACUGCGGUACGGCCCAGACUCCUACGGGCGGCAGCAGUGGGGAAUAUUGCACAAUGGGCGGAAGCCUGAUGCAGCAACGCCGCGUGCGGGAUGACGGCCUUCGGGUUGUAAACCGCUUUCGCCUGUGACGAAGCGUGAGUGACGGUAAUGGGUAAAGAAGCACCGGCUAACUACGUG